CAUGUACUCCCUCCGUCUCAAAAUUCUUGUCUUAAAUUUGUCUAGAUACGGAUGUACCUCCAUCCCAAAAUUCUUGUCUUUGAUUUGUCUAGAUACGGAUGUACCUAAUACUAAAACGUGACUUGAUACAUCCGUAUUUAGACAAAUCUAAGACAAGAUUUUGGGACGGAGGGAGUACAAC
rnacentral:pre_miRNA from 1 species